AAGUAAAAUAUGAUGUCUUCAUUUUGAAAAUACUGAAUAUAAAACUCUUUUAAUUAAAAAAACAUUUUGGCCCUACCAACAUCUGUUAUGGAGGCAGGGAGACACCUAUGAAACCCCGCCCCUCCCUGAGUAGACAGGCAUUUGGUGGUCACUGGGGAUGAGACAUUUUCUUCAACUGUGCAGUACCUGGUAAGGUACCUGUACUCCUAUAAAAAGCUUCUCACUGGUUCCUGUAGGGAACCACAGUGAAACUCACUGGGCCACCAAAAAGUUUUUACAGAUGUGAAACUAGAAUGGGGACUGGUAGGGAAGGAGCAGGGGAUCAGCAGGAGGGGGACGACAAGGGGCUGCCAGGAAGUGUGACUGUGAUCAAGGCACAUGAUAGAUGUGAGUGGGAAUAUAAUGAAACCCAUCACUGCGUAUACUUUGUAUAUGCUAAUAAUUUUUAUUCUAAGUAUUUUGUUUAUACUACACCACACCACACCAUAGCAAUUUCUCUUUGCCAUUAUCAAAUACUCUCUUUGUUGAGUAAAAUUAAAUUCCCAUCCCUCUCAACCUUUCAUGCAUCCUGACUUUGGGAAAAGGAUUUAGGAUCCAGUCAAUGCCAGUGUUUAAAUGGAAGUUAGCUGAGCCAUAUUGUCCAAGUUAAAAUUUACAAAUUUAAUUUAAUUUACACAUUUAAUUCAAAACCAAUGAAGAUGUUAUUGAAAGACAGCCACCUGGAUAAGCUGGGCUUGGAAAGGGGUGCAGCCAGUCCGUCCCAGUUCAGAUUUGUGCUCCAGGCGCUGGUCUCUAGACAGAGCAUCUCUUUAAUACACUGUCCACCUUGGUUCAUAAAAACCUCCUUUUCCACCUUCAAAUUACUCCAAGGCCUACUUUCCCAUAGAAUUCUGAGGAUUUUGCAACUUGCUUGUGAAUCUUAGCUGUUUAGGAAUUUGUUCUAGAACUCUGAAAUGUCUUCAAUUUAUAAAUCUGUUGCCCUGGUGAUAGAUUCUUUCAAACUUCUAAGUCUGCUGUAUGUAAUCUGUCUUAUGGGCUGCCAUUUGAAUUUCUCUUGGCUUUAUUAAGAAGUAAUGGGAAGCCUGUGUACCCCUUAAUAGAUUCCCCUGGUAGUGGCUCUAACACAACUGUUGUAUAAUUUCACAACAAAGACAUCACCAUUAUAAAGGAAUCAUCAGUCCAAGAGAAGACUGCCACUAAGAAAAUGUAACACAAAACAACCACAGAAGAGUAGGGGAAAUAGGAAGACAUAUAUGUCCAAUACAACACAUGUACAAAUGACAUUGUAGAAACACCCAAAAAGAAGAUGUGAAAGCAAGCUCCUAACUCCUCGGUAUCUGCAACCAGUGAUAGCUGUUGAAACGCUGAACAAGGGAUUUUUUUAAUCUACUUUUAAAAAUGCCCAGUUCCUUCAAAGGAGUAAACAGAUGAGUGAAGCAGGGACGUCAAUUCAGGGCCUGCACACAGAAGUCAGCAACACAGACGAGAAAUUUAACCACCUGGAAGAGAACUUAAGCAAAUAAAUUUAAGUUCUGAGAGGGAAAAACAAAGUCAAAACAGAAAUACGAGGAACAAAACACUUCUGUAAGUCAGACUCAGUUGAGUUUUGGUCCCUCCAACCAACGAGUCAGCAGUGGGAAGAAAUCCCAUUUUGUCGUUCCACCUGAUAUGGAGGGGAGUGGCCAGCCACCUCCCAGAGAGAGAAUCUACUGCUAAAACCUGAAUAACGUGAGGUCCUGAGAUCGGGGAAUAACUGCACCACGUAAGGAGCCUGAGUUUGCUUUGUUCCCAGCCUUAGGGUAGGUAAAGGCUCCAGGAAAGAACCGUGGAGAGCAGGAGGGUUAGGUGCUGAGAGGUCAAAGGUUAUAUAUAGUCUGCAGGAGGCUUAGCUCAGAAAGGGGAGUGCCUGGGGAAAGACAGGCCCUCCUCAGGGGCUAGGAGCAGGUAGUGUCACCGAGGACGAGGACAGCCCUGGUUUUGACUCUGAGCCUGAGGCCAGUGGUGGAAUAACAUCCGGAUCAACUUACCUGUUCUUCACUGCUGAGGCUGCAGGCGUGUCUUGAUACCCACAGCUACAUCCACAAGGCAGGUGACUGGUACUCAGGACAGCCUCUGUCUUUACUGUCUCCACGCUGCUACGGCUUCCCCUACUCCCAAUGCACUUGGGGGACACUUGCCACCCCAGGAAUGAUUAUCUGGGGAGUCUUGGGAGGAUCAGAGAGCCUGCCCAGCCCACAGACAGAACUAAAUGUGUCCACCAAGGCCCCUGGUAUACAAAGAAACUCUACCAAGGUAAGACAGUUCUGGUGAACGGUGGUUACUUGUUCAGUCCAUACCCAGCAACAGCAUAAACUAUAGAAGAGACACAUGAAUGGAGUCCAGACAUUCAGCUGAGCCCCAGCCAGCCAGAGUCUGUGUAAUUGGCGAUCUCCACGUCUUGAAUACACAGAAAGCUAUUCUAAUACCACAUCCUUUUUUCUCUGAUAUUUUUUGUUAUUUGUUUUCUGAAAUAGGUCUAUGUAGCUUUGGCUGGCCUGGUACUCACUUAUGUAGCUCAGGCUAGCCUUGAAUUCACAGAGAUCUGUCUGCCUUUGCCUCCCAAGUGCUGGCAUUAAAGGAUGUGCCAUCAUUCCACGCCCUUCUGACUCUUCUGACCCCUCCCACUUUUAUUAUUUUACUGCAUUUUUAGCAGUAUUUUACUUGUGGGUUUGUUUGUUUUGUUGUUGUUUAGUUCCUUCCUUCCUUCCUUCCUUCCUUCCUUCCUUCCUUCCUUCCUUCCUCCCUUCCUUCCUUCCUUUCUUUCUUUUCUACUGUUUCCUCCUCCACCACUCUACAUUUAGUAAUAUUUUUGUUUUAUCUUCCUGAUUCUUUAACAGCCUGAUAUUUAUUCUUGUCUUAUAUUUGCCUAACUUUGCUUUUGACAUUUUUAAAUUUUUCUAAAUUUUAAUCCUUUGCUCUCCCCCAUCUCAUUCUUCUCCAUCUUUCUCUUUUUCUUUCAUCUUGCUUCUCUUCCUCUCCUUCCCUAUCUCCUUUUAUCUCAUUCAUUUAUUGUCUCCACACUUAACAUAAACAAUUUUGAACUUGAGAGUACCGACUAUAGUAGUUUGCCAUUUUCAAUGCUGUGGUCAUUGAUGCUUUAUUUGGGGCUUUAAUCGAUUUUAAGUGCUUUUUUUGUUUUGUUUUUUUUUUGAGACAGGGUUUCUCUGUAUAUUUUUGGUGCCUGUCCUAGACCUCGCUCUGUAGACCAGGCUGGCCUCGAACUCACUGAGAUCCGCCUGUCUCCGCCUCCCAAGUGCUGGGAUUAAAGGUGUGCACUGCUGCCACAUGGCGAUUUUAAGUGCAUUUCUAUAUUUUGAACGGUUUGAUGAUGUUGCUGUUGCAUCAAUUAAUUGUCUCUUCCCUGAGUAGUAGUGCAGAUGGAUUAUCAUGAGUAAGUUGCUCAAUAAAAAGAUGCCUAAUAAACCCAGAAGAGAUAUCUAAACCAACAGAUACACAAAUUAUAACACAGAAACACAAAUAAAAAAUGAAGAAGUAAGACGAUUAUAAUACCUGCAAAAGGUCAGAACUCAACAAUUGCUGAACUAAAAGAAAUACUUAAAUAUGCGAAUUUCAGGUGAAGAUUUCAAAAUUUGCUGGUAAAAAUGAUCAAUGAUCUUUCUGAAAUCAGACCCAAACAAGCAGACAAUUCAACUCAGUACUUGGAGAGCAAAGUCAGCAAUGUAGAGAGGAAAAGGUCAAUAAGCUGG